ensembl:misc_RNA
GCAGUCGGGAGAAUGGAUGUUGGAGGAGGAGGAGUCUGCUGGGCCGCCGAGGAACCUCGCGCAGACAUCUCAACCUUGGUCUCUUGACUC